rnacentral:lncRNA from 1 species
AAUUUUAGUUUAAGCAUUCCUGUCGGUUAUAACCAACAAGAAAGAUGAUUUUUCUGGCCAGCCCUCUAGCCCUCUCCGAUUCUGUGGGGCCCUCUCAGAUUUCACAGCCCUCUGGCCUAACCCUCGGUUGGAGACGGUUUUCAGGCUAUUUUCGACCUUCUGGCCCUCUAGACCCUUCGGUUGGAGAUGGCCUAAGCUUUUCGGUCAAGGGCAGCUACGACAAGUUCUGACAACUCAAGUGGUUGUAAAGUCUCCAAACUCCUAUCCUUGGAGACUUGUAGAGCCACUUGCUAGAACUUGUCAUAGCUACUUGGGGUUCGAGUAUAGGGUUUGUACUUAAGGUUCACUCACUCACUUCUUGUUGGAGUGGAAAAUUUCGGGUAUUUCAAUUUUCCACCAACGAGUAAUCUUGAACAUAUUAAGAAGCUUAAGACAUCAUCUUCGAUUGCCAUCAAUGAGGGAGGAGGGGUGACACACCCCGAUCCCAAUGUCUGAAGGACAACAUGAUGGCCAUGUGCUGGUCAAUACCUGAGGGUGACGCAAACCAUAUCAUUUAAUGCAUAUGCUGAGAACAUGUAAAACAUGCAUAUAAUUUUUGUGUGUAACCACGCAAAGUAAUAUCAAAAUGCAAAAUUUAACAAAAUAAUAGUAAUAAGGUACAUGUCACUAAACCAAAGGAGAAUAUUCAACUGCCAACAUUGAAAAAGUGAUAAUGCAUGAACAUGUUCAGAGCAUACUACUAAGUCGAAAUACAAGUAGAAGGGAUAUUAGAAAGUGCGAUUACAAGAGAUGUCCUACGCAGACAAGAGGACACAAAUUCAUUGAUAUGUGAAUGCCUCAUAGCUCAGAUCGUAUGCCUUGUUCCUAGGUCCUAAGGGGGCUCAAAAACAAAACAUGAGUGUACCAAGUUUAUAUAUAAGUAAUACUAAAUCACUUUCUCUUCAAAUGUACUAGCCCCCAGUUUUAGAAAACCCAUAUAGCAUAAUAAGUAAUAGGUUUUCCGAAAACCCUAGCAUGCCAUAAAACCUUCGUAAAACAUAUAUCAUAAAAAGUGUGCUAAGUAGUGAUAUCAUAAUUGCCAAAAGGCACAUCCAUUGCCCGCUCGAAGGCACAUACAUCGCCUGCCCGAAGGCACCUACAUCACAUGCCCAAAGGCACUACAUCGCCUGCCCGAAGUCACAUUGUAUGAAUAUCCACUAAGUAAGCGCAUAAAAUCAUGAACAUAAUCUUUCCAAAAUAUAUAUCAUUGGAGCUCAAUAGCUCAAACAUCAUAUCCUAAAUCCAUGUUCAUAAAUAUUUCAGUAAACGUAAAUUUGAUAAAGCAUGAUAUUGCAUAAAAGCAUAAAUCCGAUAACUCAAUAAGUUUUCAUAAAAUGUAGUCAUAAAAUCAUGCUUUUCAUGUAUGCAUUUCUAGUAAUAAAAAACAUACAUUUUGAAAGAGGUCCACUCACCAAUACUCCGUCACCGAAGAGCCGUUCAAACUAGAGAAGCCAGGGUUGCCACUAACAAACGCAUCUAACCAUAUAAAAGGACUACUUAGUAAAAAUAUAUUAAAAUGAUUGAAUUUGGGAAAAUGGAGCGCGGAUUUGGAAUCAGGACGUCGAAAUUAGUCUAAGAGGGGUCCCGGCCAAAACCCGAAAAAAGUCAACCAAAAGUCAACAUUGAUGGUCAACGGUUGACUCAACCAAGCCGAGCUGAGCCGACCCGAGCCACCGGAGCUCACUAGAAACUGAAAUUUUUGGCAAGAAGUUUGGGCAAAAUUCAAAGCUUCGUAACUUCGUUGUUUCAUAACAAAAUUCGACCCAUAAUAUAUUAAAACGAAGCUAGAGAAGUGUAGAACAGGAUUAAACCUGUUUGGAAUUCAAAAAGCCUGCAAAGUGUUAGAGGUUGCCAGAAACUGUAGAAAGUUCAAAUGGAUAUAACUUCUUCAAUACUCAACUAAAUAGAGUGAUUUAAAAACAAAAGUCAUACAUCUCGACGGGACGAAGAGAAUGGUACCUUUUCAAUGGCUAAAUAGUCAUAGUUUGGCCAAAAAAUGGCUUGAAAGUGGGCUGUCUCGCUGGAAAACUGGGGAAGGUUUCCCCAAGGGUUUGCUACGUCUAAACAUUACCAAAACUUCUCUAAACUACUCCCAAACAUACACUAAGACAUGAUCUACAAGUUUUGGAUGAGGCUUACCUUUGCCGAAGAAGGCAAGAAUUCACUGGAGAAACUCGGUGAACAGUGAUGAUGCCGAGAGGAAAAGAGGGGUUUAGGGGGUUUCAUCCUUGUUCUGGGUUCGUGGGUUCACCUAGAAGGGGGGGGGGUGGUGUCUUUCUUGUUGUUGUUGUUGUGUUGUGUUAUUUGUGUGUGUGUGUGCGCGCCCUUGGGGAGGGCAGUUUCAGAGAAAGAUAGAGAUGAAAGUUUAGAAAUGGAGUGAAUUGAUAGAAAAAAAGAAAAAUAGGGGGGUUCACACGGGAAGGGAUAGGGCCGAAGGACAAAGGACAAAGAGUGGGUUCCAGUGGCUUACAAAAUAAGACUACUAAAGACGAAAUGUGAAAUAUCUUCCAAACGUUUUGAAAAUCGUAAAAACUUCAUUCUAGUUCCAAAUUCGAAUUCACUAGCGUCCAAACGUUUGUGGCGUCAAGUACAAAAAGAAUAAAUUAAGAAAAUUAGUCAUAUGCGUCACGACGAGAUGGUCAACAAAAGUCAACGUUCAUGCUACAAGAGGCAAUUUGGUAAAUUCACGCAUUUAAUAAUACAAAUACGUAAAUAUUAAGACGGGGUAUCACAAGGGAGAUUUGCAAGAAAACACUCCAGCACUCAAGUCAGUCUUUGUUCAGGAUGCUUAUAAAAUUUAGAACGAUCGCAUACUUCCUUUUCUCCUCCUCUUGUUUUGGUGGGAUCCUAAACUUUUUAUAGGCAGAAAAGGCUUGGCUCCAAGUCUCAUUAUCUCACUUCAAGUUCCUUAGUAGUGGUUGAUUCAUGUUGCUUUAUUUAAGCCCCACUCUCCUAAUUUAGGAUGCAUGGGAAAUGACUAGUUACUUGACCCUUAAUAUUUACACCCACACUUCUCACACAUAAUAUAUCUAGUUAACGAUCUAGAAAAACUCUGAUGCCAUGUUAAAGUACACGUCAUUGCCAUUAUAAAUUAUAUAUUUAUCUCUCUCUUACCAAACUACUAUAUAGCAUAAAAUUAAUCAAGUAUAAUGAGUCACUACUCAUUUUGUUAAGUUUGAAAAUCCUUUAAGUUAGUUUCUUGGAGAAGAUUUUUAUGGGUUUAGCUCUUUAAACUAGUAUUCCAAGAGAUAUGUUCUAAUGUAGACAUUUUUACACUCUUCAAGGCUUUUAAGACUCCCUAUUAAUUUUAUGAAAAAAAAAAAAGAACUUUCACGAGUCUAUGUAUACUAUUAGUCACUUGGUUAUAUUCUAUUUGAAACGAAAACUACAUUAGUGUGAACGUAACCUAACCUAACUUAGAGUUGCCCAACUUUUGACAUAAAAUUAGAAAAGGGGCCAAUCCUUUACCAAAUGAUUUUGGCUAAAACCCUGUCUCUAUUAUUGUUAAUAAGCCGUCUCGAUAGAGUUGAGAAUAAAGCCAUCUCUAACCGAAGGGUUGAAAAACGCUCGAAAACCGUCUCCAAUCAAGAGUUAGGCCAGAAGGCUCAUGGGGCCCACAUAAUCUAAAAGGGCCAAAGGGCGAACCGGCUGG